UCCAGACUCCUACGGGAGGCAGCAGUGGGGAAUAUUGCACAAUGGGGGAAACCCUGAUGCAGCGACGCCGCGUGGGUGAAGGAGCGUUUCGGCGCGUAAAGCCCUAUCGGCAGGGAAGAAGGAGGACGGUACCUGACUAAGAAGCCCCGGCUAACUACGUGCCAGCAGCCGCGGUAAUACGUAGGGGGCAAGCGUUAUCCGGAUUUACUGGGUGUAAAGGGAGCGUAGACGGCAAUACAAGUCGGAAGUGAAAUACCCGGGCUCAACCUGGGAACUGCUUUGGAAACUGUAUGGCUGGAGUGCUGGAGAGGUAAGCGGAAUUCCUAGUGUAGCGGUGAAAUGCGUAGAUAUUAGGAGGAACACCAGUGGCGAAGGCGGCUUACUGGACAGUAACUGACGUUGAGGCUCGAAAGCGUGGGGAGCAAACAGGAUUAGAUACCCCGGUA
rnacentral:rRNA from 1 species